GCAGCGGUGGCCGAGAGGUUAAGGCGAUUGACUAGAAAUCAAUUGGGCUCUGCCCGCACAGGUUCGAAUCCUGUCCGCUGCG
rnacentral:tRNA from 1 species